UGUGCCCUUGUGGCUCUGCUUGCCUGAUGCAUCGAAGAUAAACCUGCUACUCCCCACAUCCUGGCCAGCUCAGGAAACUUGGCUGCUGAGCAGAAGACAGCCCCACAUAUAACAAAGCUUACUCUGCAGUUUGCUCGUGUACUGGCUGUUGGGAGCAGUAAAUGCCCUACCUCAGUGUGGAACAUACUUGCACUGCCUACACAUGCACAAGAAAGAAAGAACCACGUGCACAACUCCAGGGCAGAGGAAGUGAUGGCCCUCACACUCUGGGUCUGAAGCUCAGGUAAGUCUUGCUGAUGAGGUGCUUGAACAAACUCCUAAAAAAACCACCUUUCAGCUGGAAUGUGGAAAGAAACCAGAAGAAUGAGAAAACAGGAAUGCCUUUGCAAUACUGGUGUGUAGUGCAAUGCUUUUUUUCCUUUAUAAAGUGAUCAGCAUUCUACUAAGGUCUUCAUUAUAACAGAAUCACAGAAUUAAGGGAGUUGGAAGGGACCCAUGGGAACCCUAUGGGUCCCAUGCCCAAGCCUCUGACAGAGCAGGUUCCCUGGAGUAGGUUGCACAGAUCUCUUUGUUAGCAGAUGACUUCAGGAUUACGAUUAACAAUUCUCUGCCUCAUGGAUAAAUCUUUCAAUGAAUGCCGAGGUUACAUUACCAACGUAAGGUUACAUUUG